rnacentral:tRNA from 12 species
CGCAGGAUAGAGCAGCGGUAGCUCAGUUGGUUCAUACCCAACAGGUCGCGGGUUCGAAUCCCGCUCCUGCAACCA